rnacentral:tRNA from 1 species
GGGGUUGUGGCUCAGUGGUAGAGCACUUGCCUUGCAUGUGUGAAGUAUUGGGUUCUAUUCUCAGCACCA